GAUUGUGUAUCAUACAAACUGCUUGGGGAAUGGUUUUGGUUUGAGAACCGAUGAAGGACGUGCCAAGCUGCGAUAUGCCUUGGGGAGGUGCAUGGAGCCAUUGAUCCAAGGAUUUCCGAAUGGGACUUCCUGUUUAACACUCCGAAAGGAGAGGGAACCCCGGGAAUUGAAACAUCUUAGUACCGGGAGGAAGAGAAAUCAAUAGAGAUACCGUUAGUAAAGGCGAUCGAAAGCGGUAGAGGGCAAACCGAAUCUUUUCUGUAAAGAAAUAGAUAUGUGGAGUACGGAUCUUUCUCAAUGCCUACUUUAGGAAUUCUAAAAAGUUGGAAAGCUUUACCAGAGAGGGUGAUAGUCCCCUGGAAGUAACUAAAGAGGCUACGAGGAAAGAUAUCCUGAGUACCAUGCGUCAUUAUUCGCGUGGGAAUAUGGGUGGCAUGAACAUCCAACCCUAAAUAUUACUCAAGUCCGAUAGCAAAGAAGUACCGUGAGGGAAAACUGAAAAGCAACCCGGAAGGGCUGUAAAAAGAGCCUGAAACCAAGCAGUGAAAACUUUAUAGGGCACUAAAGGAAUGAUCUCGAAAGAGGGACCGGUGUUCUAUAGUCCGUGUUGAAGAACGGGCCAGGGAGUUGUGAUGGAUGGCGAGGCUAAUUCUAAAAGAAGCAGCCGUAGCGAAAGCGAUUACUCGCACAGCAAUGGAGGAGUAACGUAAUAAAUGCGUUUAGUCAUCUGUGGCAGACCCGAAGCCACUCGAUCUAUACCUGAGCAGGUUGAAGUUUAGCGAAAGCUAGAUGGAGGACCGAACCAGUUCUGAUGUGCAAAUCGUUUGGAUGACUUGGGUAUAGGGGUUAAAGGCUAAUCUAGAGUGGCAAUAGCGGGUUCCCCCCAAUACUACCCGCAGGUAGACCUUGGUGGAGAUGUCUAGUGAGGUAGAGCGACCGAUUGGGUGGCCAGCAGUAGAAAUACUGCACCACUUUGUCAAACUCCGAACUUGCUAGAAUCGAAGAUACCAGGUGCUAGGGCGUAGGGAUAAGCUUUACGCCCGUGACGGAAACAACCGAGACUAAUGUUAAGGUCUCUAAAAUUGGCUAAGUGCGAUUUAAAGAGGUUAAUGACCGAAGACAGUGUGGAGGUUAGCUUAGAAGCAGCUAUCCUUUAAAGAGUGCGUAACAGCUCACUCACCGAGGUUAUUUGCCUCCAAGAUGGAAGAGGCUAAAGCCAGUUACCGAUACAUUAGACCACCGAAAGGUGAUGUGGUAGGGGGGCGUGCUAUAUGGAUAGAAGUUUCUUCGAGAGGAGGGAUGGACCGUAUAGUAUCGCGGAUCCUGGUAAAAGUAGCAGAAUAGAAUGGUGAAAAUCCAUUCCGCCGAAAGGGCAAAGGUUCCUUGGCAAUGUUCGUCAGCCGAGGGUUAGCCGAUCCUAAGGUCACCCCUAACAGGAAGUGAUCGAAAGGGAAGCUGGUUAAUAUUCCAGCGCCUCAGGUGUUUUGCCAUAUAUAUACGCUUUGGGAUAGAGAGUGUAUGCUUGUCUACGUAUGGGUAUUUAUAAGUAAAUGGAGAGUUGUAAUGACGAGAAGUUUACAAAGUAAUAUCUGUUCCCGUAUGGGAAUUUUUUCAAGUCCCGGAGUCUAUGAAAGAUAUAUAUGGGUCAAGCCUGAGUUCGUACCAAGAACCGACACAGGUGCCCCUAGAUGAAUAGUCUAAGGCGUUUGGGAAUAAUGGAUGUGAGGGAACUCGGCCAAAUAGUCCCGUAUCUUAGGUAGAAGGGAUGCCUAUCCAGAAAUAGGAUAGGUCGCAGUGGCAAGGGGACCCCGACUGUUUACCAAAAACACAGACCGCUGCUAGUCCGUAAGGAUGUGUAUAGCGGCCGAAACCUGCCCAGUGUUGGUACCUGAAAGCUCUUUUCAAGGAGAAGAAGGGCCAAUAAACGGCGGGGGUAACUAUGACCCUCUCAAGGUAGCGUAAUACCUAGCCGCUUAAUUGGCGGCUCGCAUGAAGGUUCAACGAGAGUCCCACUGUCCCCACAUUCAGCCCCGUGAAAUUAAUGUACUGGUGCACAAUCCAGUCUCUCCCACAUGAAAGCGAAGUCCCCGUGGAGCUUUACUGCAGCCUGUAGCUGUGACGCGAUUUUUAAUGCGUAGGGUAGGAAGGAGCCGUAGAUGUUUCGGUCGUGGCCAGAAUGGAGGCAACGAUGAAACACUUCCCUUUAAAAGUUGCGUCACUAACCUUGAAGAAAGGGACAACUAUUGGUAGGCAGUUUGGGUGGGGCGCCACGCCUCUAAGAAGAAAACAGAGGUCUCCAAUGGUUAGCUCAGAAGGGUCAGAAAUCCUUCAAAGAGUAUAAGGGUAAAAGCUAGCUUGACUGUGUUUCAGCCAAUAGGGAACGCAGAUGCGAAAGCAGGGCCUAACGAACCACCUAGUUCCCUCUUUAUGAGGGCAGGUGAUAAGAGAGAAGUUACCCCAGGGAUAACUGAGUUGUCCUCGGUAAGAGUACACAUCGACCCGAGGGUUUGCUACUUCGAUGUCGUCUGUUCCUAUCCUGGUGCUGCAUAAGACACCAAGGGUGGGGCUGUUCGCCCAUUAAAAGGGAUCCUGAGAUGGGUUCACUACGUCGCGAGACAGUAGGGUUGCUUCUCUGUGGGAGUGUUCAAUGUCUGAAGGGAAGGAGCCUUUAGUACGAGAGGAACGGGGGUUCGUGACCUCUAGUUUAUCGGUUGUCCGACAGGGCAGUUGCCGAGUAGCCACGUCAUACGCGAAUAAAAGCUGAAAGCAUCUAAGCUUGAAGUCGCCCCUGAAAAUAGACAUUGUUUGAGAUCACUCUUAAAAGAAGAGGUUGAUAGAGUCGGGAUAUAAGUACCAAGCUUUUGCGAGGUAUUAAGUCCACGACUACUAAUUGAUCGAAAAUCUACAAUCUA
rfam:Ferroplasma acidarmanus Type I AMC_Cont1107, whole genome shotgun sequence.